rnacentral:rRNA from 1 species
AUUGAAUGUUGGCGGCAGGCCUAACACACGCAAGUCGAGCGGAGCGGCGGACGGGCGAGUAAUGCCUAGGAAUCUGCCUGGUAGUGGGGGAUAACGUCCGGAAACGGGCGCUAAUACCGCAUACUAUCAGAUGAGCCUAGGUCGGAUUAGCUAGUUGGUGGGGUAAAGGCCUACCAAGGCGACGAUCCGUAACUAGUCUGAGAGGAUGAUCAGUCACACUGGAACUGAGACACGGUCCAGACUCCUACGGGAUGCAGCAGUGGGGAAUAUUGGACAAUGGGCGAAGGCCUGAUCCAGCCAUGCCGCGUGUGUGAAGAAGGUCUUCGGGUUGUAAAGCACUUUAAGUUAGGAGGCGUGAACAACAGAGUGAGCACCGGCUAACUUCAUGCCAGCCGCCGCGGUAAUUC